rnacentral:lncRNA from 1 species
ACCUAAUUUAUAUAUAUAUUAUAUAUACACACACACACACUGUCUCUAUCGCUAUCUCAUCCCUGUCCUUCAUCACCAGGAAAAAAAAAAAAAAAGUUUCUUGAGAAGAAAACAUGUACAAUUAUAUUUUGCUGUAUUUUGCUUCACCUUUAGGUAAAGAUGGAUUUUCUCCCCACACCAAGGAGAAGCACAGUCACUUCUUCGCCACGGAUUCUAUUAUCUUCUUGCCUGAAGAGCUUAGAUCUAUUCAACUGUGAAAUAACUUGUCCCCAUAUUAUGCAACCUUGAUAAUUCUCUGUUUGGCAUUACUCACAGAUGCUCAGGAUGGGAGCAUCUACAGAGGAAGAGAAACUCUGGCACCUGGCUCCCUGCUUUUACAGUGCAUGGAUGAGCUAUGGAAGAACUGGCUGUCACCACUGUAAGCCCUUCCCUGGAUGAGCAUUAGAUGUGUCCAAGCGUUGUCAACUGCUGCCGGCCCCUGGAAGAGGAGCUGCAGGCCUGCAGCCAUGGCAGGAUGCCUAGGAUAUUCUCUGGGGACCUGGAUAAGUAAAGGACAGCAAUGUGAGAGCAUGUUGAAUGGCUGCGUCCCUGCACCCAGAGACUCCAGCAAUAAGGAUGACCUCUUCAGGACCAUAUAGAUACUGCUUAGCAUCUUAGAUAUAGAAGCCUGCAUUGGAGAGAGUUUGCAGUUCUUUCCCUGGUAGCAAAGAGGAGCUACUCCAGCUGAGAACUGGUGUACUAGAGGUAAGUAAGACUCAGCUGGGAAGGAAACAUCCUCUGUAACACCAUCAAGUGAUAAAAGCUAUGGGCUCUGGAUUUUACUAGCCUUUUAAUCUCUUAUUUUUCAACCUUUUGAAGAAAAAGCUUCACAUAUUUUUGAACCCACUGGCAUGUUCUUAUGAACUGUUAAGAGUGUAAAAGAAUUUUGUGCUGCGGUUUGUGUAACUUAAAUUCACUAUGAAAGCUUGUGGGAAGAGCAAGCCUGGGACCAGAGAUAAAACUGAUAGAGAGACCUGCUAGAAAUAACUGUGUAGAGCUUCAAGACUCCAGAGUGGGCAGUAGUUGGUAUCUUACAUUGGAUCAUAAAUUAUUUCAAUCACUUUCACUCGGUCCCCUGUGCAGCCUUACAAUUAAAAAGUACAUUAUUAUCGCUCUCAAAAACCCAUCAGAGGUAGAAAGAGGAGAAACUAUUACUUAUUAGACUGGAUGGAUACAGUAGGGAAAACCAGACAUACAAGCUGCUCUUCAAGUGUUGAUGGAAAGUGGGUACAAAUUUUGGUGACUUCUGGGUUCUGAAUGUCAGUAUGCACACUGUUAGAUAUCUUUCUGUUUUAAUUCAUUUGUAUAGUUAGUAGAUCUGAUGAAAUACUGAGGCUAAAAUUAACUGAAAUAUUCUAAAAUUGUAUAGAAUUUAAAGUCAUGCAAUUACAAUUGGCUUUUCCCCAGUUAUGCCCAUUUUUUUUAAGCCCUCCUUGUUUCUAAAGGAUUUUCAACAAUGCUGUGAAGCCCAUCGAGAAGUUCUGACGUACUGUCACAGAACUCUACAGUAAUCAGAGGCGUUUUUCAUUACUAGAAACCAACCCUGGGAAUGACUAGAAAUAACUAUAACAUUGUGUUUAAUUUUGCGCGAAAUGCAUUUGAAAAAUGAGUGUGUUGAUUACACAUAUCAAAGUGUAGGUUACUGAGAAAGAAGAUGGUAGUAUUAAUCGGUAUUUUCUUAAGCUUUGGUAAUGCAAAUUCAACAAUGAGUGCAAAUAAGUGAAAGUAGAAGCAUGGGUGUCCUUAUCAAAACAGAAAAGCUGCCAAAACUCUGACAUCAAAGCAGUCCCUGCUCAGUGGCUACCCAGUGUCAACCAUUCAGCCCUUUGAACACAAAAUACAGAGUAAAUGGGAUAGAAAACAACCGGGCACUGACAAUGAACAGCAGACAAAGGUGAGGUGUCCGUGACCAAAAAAGAUAUGUGUGUGUGAAAAUGUGCAUUUCUCUGCAGGUCUUUGCAAAUAUCAAAGUUCUGUGUUUCACUGUAUAGAAUAAAAGGACAAAAAAUCUAAGGCUUGUGAUCAUGUUUUAAAAUGUUUGAGACUCGAAACACUUUUGUUUGAAGAGGCAAACUACUGCAGCACUUUCAUAUUUGUGAUACACCACCCAGUGUUAUUUGGACAUCAUCAAAUCAUUUUACAGUCUCAAAAUAUUUUUCAGAGAUACAGCCUGAAAUUGGAAGAUGAUGUUCAGGCAUUUUUUUUUUCCUCUAGCAUGUGGCAAUUAUGAUGAAUCAGAGUUUAUUCUGUGUUCUGUUGAUCACCAUAGUAACCUGUACUCCCUGCAUUUAAUAGGAAACAAA